CUUCUAUUAGUUUAUAUAAAAUAUCAAAUUGUGGUUUUGAAGAAUUUAGGAAGA
rnacentral:tRNA from 1 species